CAUAUGCUUGUCUCAAAGAUUAAGCCAUGCAUGUGUAAGUAUAAGUAUUGUACAGCGAAACUGCGAAUGGCUCAUUACAUCAGUUAUAGUUUAUUUGAUAUUUGAAAGUUACAUGGAUAACCGUGGCAAUUCUACAGCUAAUACAUGCUUCAAAACCUGACUUCGGAAGGGUUGUAUUUAUUAGAUAUUAAACCAUCCCCUCGGGGCUGUGAUGAAUCAUAAUAACUGAUCGAAUCGAGGUUCGCCUUGAUAAAUCAUUCAAGUUUCUGCCCUAUCAGCUGUAGAUGGUAGUGUAUUGGACUACCAUGGCUAUUACGGGUAACGGAGAAUUAGGGUUCGAUUCCGGAGAGGGAGCCUGAGAAACGGCUACCACAUCUACGGAUGGCAGCAGGCGCGAAAAUUGCCAAUCCGAUCGGGAGGCAGUGACAAG
rnacentral:rRNA from 1 species